rnacentral:rRNA from 1 species
UACGUAGGGGGCUAGCGUUGUCCGGAUUUAUUGGGCGUAAAGAGCGUGUAGGCGGCCUGGAAGGUCCGUUGUGAAAACUCGAGGCUCAACCUCGAGACGUCGAUGGAAACCCUCAGGCUAGAGUCCGGAAGAGGAGAGUGGAAUUCCUGGUGUAGCGGUGAAAUGCGCAGAUAUCAGGAAGAACACCUAUGGCGAAGGCAGCUCUCUGGGACGGUACUGACGCUGAGACGCGAAAGCGUGGGGAGCGAACAGG